AUUGAACGCUGGCGGCAGGCCUAACACAUGCAAGUCGAGCGGAUGAGUGGAGCUUGCUCCAUGAUUCAGCGGCGGACGGGUGAGUAAUGCCUAGGAAUCUGCCUGGUAGUGGGGGACAACGUUUCGAAAGGAACGCUAAUACCGCAUACGUCCUACGGGAGAAAGCAGGGGACCUUCGGGCCUUGCGCUAUCAGAUGAGCCUAGGUCGGAUUAGCUAGUAGGUGAGGUAAAGGCUCACCUAGGCGACGAUCCGUAACUGGUCUGAGAGGAUGAUCAGUCACACUGGAACCGAGACACGGUCCAGACUCCUACGGGAGGCAGCAGUGGGGAAUAUUGGACAAUGGGCGGAAGCCUGAUCCAGCCAUGCCGCGUGUGUGAAGAAGGUCUUCGGAUUGUAAAGCACUUUAAGUUGGGAGGAAGGGCAGUAAGCUAAUACCUUGCUGUUUUGACGUUACCAACAGAAUAAGCACCGGCUAACUUCGUGCCAGCCGCCGCCGUAACAC
rnacentral:rRNA from 1 species